rnacentral:rRNA from 1 species
GCGGCGCAUUUAAGACAUGCAAGUCGAACGAAAAUUUACGCUUAAAGAGUUGAUUAGUUUACUAAGAGAUGAUUUAUUGUAAAUUUUAGUGGCGGACUGGUGAGUAAUACAUAGGUAAUCUGCCUUUUAGAGGGGAAUAACUAGGAGAAAUCCUAGCUAAUACCGCGUAAGACCACACUUAGGCAUCUAAGAGAGGUCAAAGGAGUAAUCCGCUAAAAGAUGAGCCUGUGGCUGAUUGGUUAGUUGGUGGGGUAAGAGCCUACCAAGACGAUGAUCAGUAGCCGAGCUGAGAGGCUGGCCGGCCACAUUGGGACUGAGAUACGGCCCAGACUCCUACGGGAGGCAGCAGUUGGGAAUAUUGGACAAUGGAGGAAACUCUGAUCCAGUGACGCCGCGUGAAGGAAGAAGGUCUUUGGAUUGUAAACUUAUUUUAUCAGGGAAGAAGAAAGUGACAGUACCUGAAGAAAAAGGACCGGCAAACUACGUGCCAGCAGCCGCGGUAAUACGUAGGGUCCAAGCGUUAUCCGGAUUUACUGGGUGUAAAGGGCGAGUAGACGGCGCUGUAAGUCAGCUGUGAAAACUUAGGGCUCAACCUUAGGCCUGCAGCUGAAACUGUAGUGCUAGAGUGCAGGAGAGGUAAGCGGAAUUCCUAGUGUAGCGGUGAAAUGCGUAGAUAUUAGGAGGAACACCAGUGGCGAAGGCGGCUUACUGGACUGUAACUGACGUUGAGGCGCGAAAGUGUGGGGAGCAAACAGGAUUAGAUACCCUGGUAGUCCACACCGUAAACGAUGGAUACUAGGUGUAGGCGAGAUAUCGUCUGUGCCGGCGCAAACGCAAUAAGUAUCCCACCUGGGGAGUACGGCCGCAAGGUUGCAACUCAAAGGAAUUGACGG